ensembl:rRNA 5S_rRNA 5S ribosomal RNA
UCUUACGGCCACACCGGCCUGAGUACACCUGAUCUCGUCCGAUCUCGGAAGCUAAGCAGGGUCGGGCCUGGUUAGUACUCGGAUGGGAGACCGCCUGGGAAUACCAGGUGCUGUAAGCU